rnacentral:rRNA from 2 species
GGGGAAUCUUCCGCAAUGGGCGCAAGCCUGACGGAGCAAGACCGCGUGCGGGAGGACGGCCUAUUGGUUGUAAACCGCUUUUGAUAGGGAAGAAGCUCUGACGGUACCUAUCGAAUCAGCAUCGGCUAACUCCGUGCCAGCAGCCGCGGUAAUACGGAGGAUGCAAGCGUUAUCCGGAAUUAUUGGGCGUAAAGCGUCCGUAGGUGGUUGUUCAAGUCUGCUGUUAAAGCGUGCGGCUUAACCGCAUACCAGCAGUGGAAACUGGGCGACUAGAGUGCGGUAGGGGUCAGGGGAAUUCCCAGUGUAGCGGUGAAAUGCGUAGAUAUUGGGAAGAACACCAGCGGCGAAAGCGCGUGACUGGGCCUGAACUGACACUGAGGGACGAAAGCUAGGGGAGCGAAUGGGAUUAGAUACCCCAGUAGUC